CAGUUCCAGUGGUGAUUGUCACUGCUCUCCACCCAUCCAGUUCUCAAAUGGGGUGGGUGUGUGCUACAUUUUGUAUCAUUUGCAGGGGGGAUUUGAUUUGGAAAGCAGAGCAAUGCCCCCUUGGAUGUGGGGAAGCAGAACAUGAGUGUCCCAUCCCCAGAAUGUCCUCAUCCCAAUCUCCCUAGAUCUGUGACAAGCAGGCAUUAACUCACAAAAAUAUCCCUGGAAUCGAGGUUGCUGCCGGAAGCCUCUGUAGGUAUCUAGUCUCAGAAUCAUCACUUUGAAUAUUUAAGCUAUCAGUGACAACUUCCACCAGAUGGCGCCAAAGUACAUCUGGGACCAGAAGGGAUUUGGAUCCUGUAGCCAGACCCACAACUCUACCAAACCAACAUCGCAGGCCCAGGGGUCAUUUCAUUAACCUCUCAAUAACAUCGCUCUGAAUUUUAAUUUAAUUUUUUAGUUUCCACUUACUGCUUUAUGACAGCGGUUUUAGUGUGCAUGGAUAGGGCUAAAUCAUGUAAAUAAUAGAGAAAGAUACAAAACAAAAAUGCGUUUUUUUUUUUUUUUUUUGGAGACAGGGUCUUGCUCUAUCACCCAGGCUGGAGUGCAGUGGCACGACCACGGCCCACUGCAGCCUUGACCUCCUGGGCUCAAGCAAUCUUCCUGCCUCUGCCUCCUAAGUAGUUGGGACUACAAGCGUGUGCUACGAUGCCUAGUUAACUUUUUAUUUUUUGUAGAGAUGGGGUCUUGCUCUGCUGCCCAGGCUGGUCUCAAACUCUUGGGCUCAAGCGAUCCUCUCGUUUAGGCCUCCCCAAAUGCUGGAAUUACAGGCGUGAGCCACCUUUCCUCGCCAUAAAUGCUUCCAUUUCCGCCUCGACAACUACUCCACCUGAAGCUGUUCAUUUCUUCUUGCAUUCCUUCCAGAAAAAAGUUAUACACAU
rnacentral:lncRNA from 1 species